UCUUUGUGUUUUUUUAGGAUGUAAACUUGUCAUAUAUUUGGAAAUAAAGGCAUUCCUGCAAGAUGAGAUCUGAUUUGACAUACAGGAGUGACUAAUUGCUGACACAUAUUGAAAUCGUGCUGAUUUAGGGGAGACUGGAGAUUCUCUUUUUUCUGGACGAGGGUUAUAAAAGAGGAUGCUGCAACGGGAAGAACCAGAACCACAGGAGCAGCGAGUCAGACAAUUUCUACACAGUAUAUAAGUUAUCCAGGGGAUUUCUAUCCUGUUUCUUCAGGAAUAUACUCUCUUUCCUACCUGUGUUUCCUGCUAUAAUAUGCCUGCCUUGUCAAGGAACCACACCGUUUUUAUUGCUGCAGAAUGUACUAGAAAAGCAUCCUCUCUGAUGCAAAGUGAUUCUUUUGGAUCUCACUAGUAACAUUCUGCUCCCAUGGGUAGAGCCCACUCCCAGCUGAAGAACCAAAGUGUAGAUAUUAUACAGUAAUAUCAUGAGCAUACAUGCUCCAAUUCCUUUCAUUUUGCUGGUCUUCUCCAACUGUUUAUUGUACAGCUGAAUACCUUCUGUCUGAUGGUUCUCCCAAGAACAAUUCAGCAAAAAGGAAUGCAAAGCCACCUUAAUUUUGAAUUCAGCAUUUUCCUCUGAUAAGGAGCCAUCAUACAUUUCUUCUCUGAAGAGUUAAGAAUGGAAUCAGGACUGUCAAAGAAAUUUCAUUCUAUUAAACAGAGCAACAUUUGUGCAAGAAAGCCCACUACAUAAAUAAACCUCAGUUCCAUUAAGAACUUUCAUGUUUGGAAUCCAAUUCUAUUUCAACAGAAAUAAAGCAGAUUUAUACAUACAUACAUCCUACAAAUAUGUAUGUAUAAGCAGAUUUUUUAAAAUAUAAAAUAUUUUUAUAUUAAAGAUUAAGUAUUUGUAAUACAAAGCAUAUGUAUAGUAUGCUGUAGUAUAAAGGUGAUCUACAAGUAUACAAGGUAGCUUAAAAAUUCAAAGAUUUAUUUCAUUUUUGGAAUAUUCUGCUGAGUAAUAGAAGAAAAAAGUUCAUUUGGAGUAAGACACAGAUGGAAGUCAAGUAGCAGUGUUGUAAACAAAGAGAUUAAUAAUUCAGCUGAUGUGGAGCACUGUAGCUGAAGAAAAUGAAAAAUUCUUAUCAAUCUCUGCAGUUCAGUGUGUCAUGGUUGGGAGGUGCCUGAUCCUCUCGUAAAAAAUGCUUGCCAAUUCAGGUGCACUUUUAUUUCUGAUAUCAUUGGAAAGUUUGACAUUUCUGUAAUAUCUGUUUUUUAAUUGAGAAAUAAAAAAUUGAGAAAUCUAGUCUGAAAACAUUUUGCUUUGCAUUUUAUUGCUCUAAUAUGAACUGGGAACAGAAAACACUUCCUCUAAUUAGCAUUAAGGGAUGAAACAGUUCAAUGUCUGCCUCCUGAGCCUGGCAUUUUGUCAUGGGAAAGACUCUUGGCUGCAUCUGUAAUUGGGAAGAUCUAUAGUUUAAAUUUCAAUUGUACAAGUUGUUAGGAACAGAUUUAUAAAUGUAUAAUUCAUUACAUUUUCAUUUUACCUCUUGCCCAUUUUAUUACGUAACAUGAUGGCUGAUAAUCAUUGCUCCCAAAGUGAGGAAUGAACAGGAUGGAGGUCUCUGUGAUUUGGUGGA